CAAUUUAGUACCUUAUUGCGUUAGAAUAGAGUUCAUUUUCGUAAAUAUAUAUUUUGAGCGUGCGCAAUCUUGUUUAGUAAUAUUAUAUCUAUGGUUAAAGCACAGUCUUUAAAAAAAAAAUGCACCAAGAGCUGUAAACUGCACUCACUUCUGCAGACCGCAGAGUGCAGCGCACUCUAUACACACUCUUCAUUUUCGUCAUCUUAUCGGCUUUGCUGGCCACAUCGGUGCAAGCCAAAUGGCCGGGUUGGACCGAACUGGAUUGUUUCUGCACGACCCAGUAUGACCCUGUGUGCGCUUCCGACAUGAAGAGAUACUCAAACUAUUGCUACUUUAUGUGUAGAGUCGAAUACCUGCAACUGAAGGGCCUACCUUCGAUAGACUUAGUACCGUGUUUUGAACUGCCACCUGUCCAGGACGUCGUCUAGAGCCUAGCAUGAUUUUAUCAAAUAUGGUAACAUGAUGAAUUAUAUAAACGGGAUUAAAAAUA